AGUGCUGGGGAGAGAUGGUGGGUGCCGGGGGUGAGAGAGCGGAUGUGUUGGAAGAUUGCGCGAGGGUGCAGGGAAGUCGGAUGUUGAUGGAGGAAUGAUCGAUGCCUGAGAGACAGGGGUAAGCGGUGCUGUCCGGAUGUGCGGUGCUGGAGGGAUGGACGGACGACGGACGGCGUUGAAGAGACAGAAGGGUUGAACUGAAGCAGGUUUAGUGGAUUGACUGCACUGCGAAUCUUCAAUGCUUUGAUUUGAGAUCUGGCACAAGACGGCUCGUUGCUGAAUUCCACUUCCACAUAAGGCCGAACACUGUAGGAUUGGCAGAGGUUUAGUAUCACCAGGUAAUACUAGAAGCAAGGUUACCUGGGUGGUAAACAUCUUUAUGACUCAUCUUUAUGUGCCUGAUUCAUGAAUGAAAAGAGUUGGCCUCUGGUAGCAUUUUAUGAUGAACAAAACAAAGCUCCUUAGAUGCUGCCUGACCUUCUGAGGUCCUCCAGCCUAUUACAUGUGUUACUCUGAACAUCGUUUCCACGGAUGCUGCCCGACUGCCCGAUCUGCUGAGUUCCUCCAGCGUGUUAGGCCAACAGCUGAAAUUCAAUAACAACGGAGCAUUGACCAUCAGA